rnacentral:hammerhead_ribozyme from 1 species
AUCCAGCUGACGAGUUUCAGAUAGGACGAAACGCGCGUCCUGGAU